CCUACGGGAGGCAGCAGUGAGGAAUAUUGGUCAAUGGGCGCGAGCCUGAACCAGCCAAGUAGCGUGAAGGAUGACUGCUCUACGGGUUGUAAACCUCUUUUAUAAAGGAACAAAGGGAGGCACGUGUCCCUUUUUGUAUGUACUUUAUGAAUUAGGAUCGGCUAACUCCGUGCCAGCAGCCGCGGUAAUACGGAGGAUCCGAGCGUUAUCCGGAUUUAUUGGGUUUAAAGGGAGCGUAGACGGGUUGUUAAGUCAGUUGUGAAAGUUUGCGGCUCAACCGUAAGAUUGCAGUUGAUACUGGCAGCCUUGAGUACAGUAGAGGUAGGCGGAAUUCGUGGUGUAGCGGUGAAAUGCUUAGAUAUCACGAAGAACUCCGAUUGCGAAGGCAGCUUACUAAACUGCCACUGACAUUGAGGCUCGAAAGUGUGGGUAUCAAACAGGAUUAGAUACCCUGGUAGUC
rnacentral:rRNA from 1 species